AGCAAAGUUCCAGGGCAGAGCCUUCCCUCCCAGAGCCCGGCGAUGCAGUCGCUCUCGGAUACCUGCUCAGCUCCGCACCGCAACUGAAAGAUCUGCCGCCGCGGAACAGUUGCGUCUCCAUCUGGCUACCAACCCACCCAAGCUUUCUUCUCCACCACCACCACCUUCUUUCUUCCCCCUCCUCCCCCUCCUUUCCGUCUUCCCUCUCCACCCCCGCCCCCAAUCUCCUCCUUUUUUUCUCACUACGAGCGGUUGCUGAUGCUGAAGCCGAGCGUCACUUCGGCUCCCACGGCAGACAUGGCGACAUUGACAGUGGUCCAGCCGCUCACCCUGGACAGAGAUGUUGCAAGAGCAAUUGAAUUACUGGAAAAACUACAGGAAUCUGGAGAAGUACCAGUGCACAAGCUACAAUCCCUCAAAAAAGUGCUUCAGAGUGAGUUUUGUACAGCUAUUCGAGAGGUGUAUCAAUAUAUGCAUGAAACGAUAACUGUUAAUGGCUGUCCUGAAUUCCGUGCGAGGGCAACAGCAAAGGUAUUCUCGUGUGUACACUGUAAGAGAAUUUAGACAUCAGUGGCAGCCCAGAGUCUAGAACCAGUACUACUUCUCAGGCAACAGUUGCAGCUUUUGCAGCUAGCGAAGGCCACUCCCACCCUCGAGUAGUUGAACUGCCAAAGACUGAUGAAGGCCUUGGUUUUAACGUGAUGGGAGGAAAAGAGCAAAAUUCCCCCAUUUAUAUCUCUCGCAUCAUUCCUGGAGGGGUCGCUGAAAGACACGGAGGCCUCAAAAGAGGAGACCAGCUGCUAUCAGUGAACGGAGUGAGUGUGGAAGGAGAACACCAUGAGAAAGCUGUGGAACUACUCAAGGCUGCUAAAGACAGCGUCAAGCUGGUAGUGCGAUACACCCCAAAAGUUCUGGAAGAAAUGGAGGCUCGCUUUGAAAAGCUACGAACAGCCAGGCGUCGGCAGCAGCAGCAAUUGCUAAUUCAGCAGCAGCAACAGCAGCAGCAGCAACAAACACAACAAAAUCACAUGUCAUAGGCCCUUGAGGGAAAGCUACUUGAUCAAACAUCCUAUAGUCACAAAUUUGAAAUCGUGCUUCAGAAUCCCAGCACAUAGUAAAAGACAACACAGAUAAUUAUACCUGUCAAGAAGCUGUGAACACAUGGUGUAUAAAUUCUUUACCAAGGCAACUCGACACCUUCUUUCUCUGGGCUUGAACCGCCACUGCUCACGUGGGCUUUACAUACAUUGACCUUCCAUUCACGGCAGUGGGAAUUCUCAGUGUGCAGAGGGAGAGGUUUUCUAGUCUGCAAACUGAAACAGUGUAAGAAGAAUAAAGUCUGUGACUUUUAAAUAAAUCACCAGGGCCAAGAUUGAGUGAAUCUUGGGUCCAUAGCUUUUCCAGAUAUUAGCAAACCCCUCAUUAGGCUAUAAUUCAAACUGCAUCAGUUCAAAGGGUGUUGCCACGUAACAGAAACCUACACAUUGCCCCUUACCCUGACCUGCUCCACAAUCCAUAGUGCUGAGUUGUCUGAAUUGGAAUUCCAGUUAAUUGCAAGUUCAACCUCUGUUUUCCUCUUGAAAAUCGCAAGGUAUCAUAGUAUAUUUAUAUUUUCUUCAGGUUCUAGAAGCAGUCGGAUUUUUAUUUUGUUUCCACGAAUUUUAUUAUGCAUUAAUAGAAUGGACCAAUUUUAGCUCAACUUUCAGUUUGUUAGAAGCAAGGGUAGGAACUCUAGCACUGUAGUUUUUGAUCUAAUUAUUGCUUGUAUCUAUUAUUAUUAAUUCCAACAGAAUAUAAUGUAUAUUUAUUCUACAAAAUAUAUAUUAUCAGAGUGCAUUUGUUACAACUUAGGUUCCUUUCUUACCAAGUGUUAAGAAUCUAGUAAGAGAAUACUAGCAAAGGACCUAGCCCCGUGAACAGAUUCUCAUAUGUUAUAUACAUAACCCUACUCUCAAUAUUUUUUGUUGAGUUUUAUACUUUUUGAUUGAUAAACAUUGAAGAAAUCUAAACUCUACUGACACUGAUGUGCUGUCAUGGAAGCCUAUUUCGUAUUUUAAAACUUAGCAAAACUAAAUUAUAUGUGCAUAUAUAUUCAAAUAUUUAUGUCACACAAAGUUUAGGUCAAUUUCCCCAAAUAUAAACUAGAUAUUUUUGGCACUCUAACAUAAACAAAUAUUAUUUCUCUUAUAAUUGGGCAGAUGGAAACCAGUGAUAUCAAUAUUGUGAAUGGCAGAUGCUGCUUCCUCUAUAGAGAAAAAAAAAAAAAACCACCUACUUUGUUAAUAUAUUCCCAUAGGUAAAUAGACAGUGAGAUACCAUCUUCCAGAAAAUAUCAUUCCCUAGAAAAUAAUCUGUUAGAACUACCUUUACAGGUCAUAAUUUUUGGUUUAUGGUAAAUCUAGGCACCUAAGUCUGAUCUUUAUGAAAUAAAUAGGAAGCAAUAAUUAUUUGAGCAUUUGAAUACCUUAAGCACAGAAAUGUAUCUGAGAAAAGGAUAAUUGCUUAGUUGAAGUAUUCAAAAUAGAUCAGGAAACCAGAGGCAAAUAUUUGAAUAUUCCUUAUUCUCAAAUACAGAAAUUGAUUCCCCAAGAUACAAUACAAUUGGACACUUCAGAUAAUCCCCCAAAAUAGAAAUGUAUGAAGCUCAGUUUAGACUGUCUUCUUGUAAAUAAAACAAAACCAAUCAAAACUACCCAGCACAUUUUAUUAUGCCCUGUUGGGUGAUAGUAUUGUCAAUACCAGGUUUUCCCUGCUCUUCACAAUGCAUCCCUCACCAGAGGAAAAACAGCAAGGAAACUAGGACGUUCGCUAAUUUCAACAAUGCCCCGCUGUGGUAACAGAUUCCCAUCCUUGAAUACAUAUCAUUUUUUACUAGAGACAACGGGGGUGGUGGGGUGGGGUCAGUGAGGACCCUGAAUGUUAUGUAAAAUAGAUUUACAAAAUAGACAAGCAUGAUAAAAGGGAAUGAAUGGAGACGAUGUAUUAUUCAGUUUGAAAGAGAUCACAUUUUUAUAAGAAAAAUUUAAUAAAACAUAUAUUUUAGUUAUCAUUUAACAAAGAUAUAUUAAAGCUAUUCAGGCAAUGCCACAGGAUUCUCAUAAAGGGAAAUCAUUGAACCCUUGCCAUGAGAAAAUGGUUAUUUCAACACAUUUCAAUACAUUGUAUAAAUUUGGAGCUUAAGGUGAGUGAGUAUGUUUUCACUUAGUCAUAAGUGUUUGUUCAAUAUUAAAGUUAUCAUAUGGUUUCACAUCAAUACAAAUAUUGUCACAGUGUUACAGAAACAACUAUCAAGUGGUAAGAUAGCUUACAUUUGUGUUUUCUAGAAGCCUUUGUAUUUACGCUUCAUUUGCUUAAUGCUAAGUGUUGAUAAAGGUAUGCCAGAUUGUUUGUCAAAGUAAAGAGGCAAUCCAUCACACCUAGGACUUCUAAGGACGGAUUAUACUUCAGAGUGGUCUCAUAUACAAAUGACCAUUUUCCUUCAGUAAAAUCUUAUUGGUUGAAAUGUAAGCCUUUUCCUAAAGCUUUAAUCAGAAGUAGCGAUCACUAAGACUUAAGCCACUUGUGGUUCUCCUAAGUUUCACUGAAACCAGAAGAAGAGGGAAAAAAUUACCACAACUUGUGUUAUACUAAUUAUCUUCAUUAUUAAUGAUCAUAUUAGAGCCACUGACAUGUCCCAGAUUAUAUUAAACUAAAAACCUGCAUUGCUCUGACAUGAAGCUCAAUUCAAUGUAAUAAACAAAUUAGGUAUUAAAAGUCAAAAAUAAAAAAAAAAAACUGCUACGAUAUCACCAGAAAUCCUGGUGAAAUUUAAUUUUUUCCCUUUUUUAGGUCAGUGGUCAGUGGGAUAGAUUUUUCUAAACUUUUUCCUGCUAUGAUUUUGAAGACAAAUACAUGGAGUAUAGUUCAGUAAAAGAGAGCUUUCAAGCCUUUUCACUGGAGCAUUUGCAUUUUGAUUCUGUUGUCAUUUGAAACAGAACAUCUGCAGGGAGAUAAUGAGCUUAAGUUACAAUUGACUUUGGAAAGAAUAACAGACUUGUGUUUCCUCAAUCAUGUAGUCAAUAGGGAAUUCUCCAGUUAUGUGAACAAUCACAAUCUUUUAAGACAAUACUUAGAUCUAAAUGCAAAAUCUAGCAUGCAUAGGCUUUUUAAGGAUUUUAGGCUGUCUCCAAAGAACUUGGCUCGAGAUGGAUUACACAAUUUACAAAUGCAGUUUUCAACUGUGACAUCAAACUGAUCUUAUCUCAUUUCCUGUUACUCAACUGUGCCUGUAGGACUCCAAGAGGUGAAAUAUUUUGUCUACAUUAUUUUAAACAUCUAUAGAUAUGUGUGGAUGUGUGAAUAAUGCCAGAAUUUCUCAUCUUUUAGCUAGUUUGUUUUUAUCAUACAGACACAGCCUGUUCAUAAGACCAGCUUUAGACAACAUAGAACUCAAUGCUCUGAAGAUUCAGGGAGGCCAACAUGGAAAAGAUCUUCCAAAAUACGGGGUGACCUGACCCAUCUCAUCCCUCUCUAGCUGGAAACCUCUAUAGAGAAAGGGCUGUGACUGCCUUGACCUCUGUCUGGCACAACGUAGGUACUCAGUAUUUGUUGGAUGAAUAAAUGACUGAAUUAAUGAAUAGACAAAAAAAUGGAUUUUACCUUCUGAAAAUCUCACAGAUUUUACCAGCUUAUAUUAUACUGAUUGUCACUAUGAUUUCUAAAUUUCAUGGUUGGAACCAUAACUGAGUCUUUAUAAAAACUUUUUAGAUGUAUGAAUUUGGAAUUUCAUUAAUUAAAGACUUCAAAGAUUUGAGGACAUUUGAACAGUGGAUAAGGAACAAUGUUUGGGGAUACAGAGUUUUUACACUGAGUUGAACCCAACCUUUCUAGUUCUUUAUAUAAGCUUUCUGAAUUUUCUGGCAGGAAUGAUUCAAACAUAAAGCCCCAUUUUUAAAUUUUAUAAAAGAUGUUGUCAUUUUUAUAUAAAAAGAUCAUUAUGCAUAUUAUCCCUUUGAUAUUUAUUAACAACCGUUCUCUAAGAAAUUCAUAAUAAUUGGAGACACCAUCCCUAAAUCUCUUCCUACUUUCAAAAGAUCACUUAUCCUUUCAUAUUUGAUUCCUAGAAUAUACUAAGCUGAAGUUUAAUCACACACUUAUUCAGAUGUUUCCCUGUGUUUAUUCAUUUAACAAAUAUGUAUUGUGUACCUAGUGCAUGCUAGGUUCUGGAAAUGCAACAGCAAACAAAACAGACACAAUCCCUUGUGGAGUUUACUGUGAGAAACUCUCCCACAUUUACCCUAGCAAUAACUAGAGAGUUUACUGUCCACUGGGUCCUCUUCACACCUGAUAGAGAAAAUAAAAUUCCUCACCCCAUGGAAAUCAUGAAAUACUCCCUGCACGGAUUUAUGUGAGCUUGCUUUUAUAAAAACACUGCUCGAAAAUGCUGCUUAGUUUAUCUAUAAACCACAGUUAUACCCCGGUGAGGUAGGUAAGUAAUUUAUUAAUAACUAACAUUUAUGCAGCUCUAUUUUCUAGCUACUGUGCUGAGUGCUUUUAUGGACUAUCUCAUUAAAUCCCUUCAACAACUCUAUUCAGUAGGUUCCAUUUUAUAGAUUAAAAAAACUGAAGCACAGAUAUAUUAUGUGACUUGUCCAAGGCCACACAGCUAGCAGGUGGAACCGGGAUUUGAACCCACGCAGUCUGACACAAGAGCUCAUGUGUCUAAUCAUUAUCUGUGGUUUGGGGGGACACCAUUACACUGAAAUGAAUGAGUCACUAAGUGAGUCACUGUAUAUAAAAUACUUGGAAAUUGUAAAGUAAUAUACAAAAGAUAUUAAUGAAGUAUUAUUCAUGGUAAACAAAUCACAUCAGUAGCAAAUACAGGGUGAGAACUCAAUCUUAUGUUAUAGUUCUUAAGAAGAAUAUGUGAAGCCAGGAACAUGGUUAAAGGUAUAGAUCAGAAAAUUUCUGACAUGUGAUAAAUAUUUCAGUGACUUUUCAGAUUUAUUUCUUGUUAGCCACUGUGUCUAUUUGGUGCUACAAAAACUGAAAGAAACAAAAUCCCUGAUAUAAGGGCUUAUAACAAAUACACAGUUUGGAGAUGAACUAAGGAUAUUUUACAUUUAUGGGGAAGGAUUGGACAAUAGUAUCAUUUUCUCACCACUUGCAUGUACAUCAUGUCUUUCCAAUUGUUUUCAUUAUUUUUCUGAAAAAGCUGCAAAAUUGUGCAGUGGUUCAACCUGACCAAAGUGGUAUUAUGCUGCUGGGAAGUAAAAGUAUUAGACACCAAA